GCCAGGACUGGAGCAAGUGAGCUGCUGUGUGAGGAACCGAGGGCCUUCUGCUGGAUGGUUUGGGAGGGCGCUGAGUCUGGCUUGCCACCCUCUCUAGCUUAGCUGCGUAAACGGGCACUGGUUGCCCACCCCCGUGGUGGCGACUAGGCCGAGGUGCUAGGUGUGCUUGGAGAAGGGAGGAAAGGGGUUAAUGGCCCCUAGGCUAGGGGUGCGGCUCCGCGGGGCCAGGAAGCCACCACCAGCGGCCAGCUUUCUGCAGACACAGCGAUCUUCCUCCUGGUUCGGUGGCUAAACAGGCCCUGGGGCCUCCGGCCUGGGGAAUCUGGUCUGGGGACAAGAAUUAUCCAGCCUAUGAGGCGGGAAUCCAAGGGAGACAGAUGAAGAUGCAGUGAAGUGGAAGUUGAAAGCCCUGGGAUUUGGUCUGCGCUCUGAUGCUGCAGAGGCCAUAGCGUCCCUUGCCUGGGCCCUGGGUUGCUCGCCUGCAAAACAAGAGACUGGUGGUUUGU